CCUCUCCUGACAAGUGCCGGCAAGAUGCUGCUCCCAUCACAGGUCAUCCUGCUGGCCUCCCUGUGGAUCUAUGCAAAUGCAGACUUUUUAAUAACGCAACUUGUACCAUCCAUUACCAAGAAACAAGGAAACACAGCAUUUUUAGAAUGCCAAAUAAAAGCAGGUGGCUUAAGGAAUAAUGUAUAUAUUCACUGGUAUCAACAGAAGCCAGACCAGCCUCUAAAACGAAUUCUGUAUAUCUCCUCAAAUGAAAAUGUGGUCCACGAACAAGGGGUUAAUGAGGAAAGAUAUGAAGCCAGGAAAUGGCAGAGGGAUUUACCAGCGAGUCUUAGGAUACACCGUGUUAAUGAGGAAGAUGCUGGACUAUAUUACUGUGCCUGCUGGGAUACACUAACCUCUAACCAGUGUGAUAACUCAGGCUGGAUCAAGAUGUUUGCACAGGGAACUAAGCUCAUAGUAAUUCCCCCAGAUAGAAGCCUUAAUGUAGACAUUUCCCCCAAGCCCACAAUUUUUCUACCUUCAGUUACGGAGCGAGAACUCCAUAAGGCUGGAACAUAUCUUUGUCUUCUUGAGGAUUUUUUCCCGGAUGUUAUCAAGAUAGAUUGGCAAGAAAAGGAUGACAAAACAAUUCUGAAAUCGCAGCAGGGAGACACCGUGAAGACUAACGACACAUACAUGAAAUUCAGCUGGCUGACCGUGAGUGGAGCGUCAAUGGAUAAAGAACACAAAUGUAUCGUCAAACACGAGAGGAAUAAAGGAGGAGUUGAUCAAGAGAUUCUAUUUCCUCCCCAGAAAAAAGAUCUCACUGCUAUUAAUUCUACAAAAGCUUCUCUGAGAUAUAAAGAUGAUACUUUGCAGCUGCAGCUCAAGACCACUUCUGCCUACUACACCUACCUUCUACUUCUCUUCAAGAGCCUGAUCUACUCUGUCAUCGUGGCCAUCUGUCUGCUUGGGAGACCAGCAUUCUGUGGCAAUGGGAAGAGUUCCUAAUACAUGGUGGCACAAGAGUCCACUUUUCUCCAAUGGCAAUUGUCGCCAAAGUAUCUGUUGUGGAUCUAAUGGGGCUUUCUCUCUGAGACUGUUAUAUUUCAGUUCAAAUGUGUCUUUUUCUAUUGUCAUUACUGCAGAACAGGUUUACACACCAGUAGGCAAACAGAAACUUUCACUUUGCCGCUAGAACAAAUUCUGCCAUGACUGGGGCGGGGCCAGGGGGCAUCCACAGGGGCUUCAGCACCGCUCUCUCCUUAAUGUCCACCAGCUCCUCAGCCACCCAGUCCCAGAGCCUCUGAGCACAGCCAACACACAGCUUCAGCUGCAUCUCCUGGGGCUCUUUAACCAGAUAACUGCUUCAAAGCCAUUUAUUCUACACAUCUGGACUGCCAUCACGGCUGCCUGAGUUUGGUACUGCUUUACAUAAUAAGCACAAUAAAAAACAA